AUGGCUCCCUCCGCCGACGCCGCCGCGCCCGCCCCGACCCCUCCGCUGGCGCCCCUCAUCGCCGCGCAGCUCAAGUUCCUCCUCACCAACUCCAGUCUUCCCAUCAAGGUGGUGCAGAUCUGGUCCGGAUGCAGCAAGGGCCGCUACGCUGAUCGCUUCACCCUCGGCAUCCCCUUCUGCCUCGACUACGUCUACUGGGAUUUCUUGUAUAAUGCGAUGCACCCCAAGGUGGCGCCGGACGUCAUAUUCGGGCAGCGCGAUGAGGGAUUCCAGCCACUGGUCGAUUAUGAUGAGUCCGGGAAUGGGGGAAAGAGCUGCUUGGCACACUGGGAUUACCGUGACCCCCGUGGCCUCCUCUGCCUCGUGGAGGAGCUCCGGUUAUUAUACAUUGAGUACCAAAAGAAGCUGGUAGAGAAAGUGGAUGAUGCAAGACUGAAGUUUGAAAUAAGCACAGUUCUUGCUAAGGAGGGGAUUGAAGUCUCCUUGGUAUCAUCAACUGGUAGGUCAGAUGAGGUGAAAUUUGCUGUCCCGCUUCUGGAUUUAGACCUCAAAAUGAUGGUGCCUGGAUGUCCUUGGAAACUUCCCCAAAAGAUCCAUCUGCAGGCCAUAUUUCCGGUUAGCAGUAGUUACCUCUCUGUUCCUUCUGCACCAGGACUGAAACUAACCUCAACUCCUGAUUUGAAGUCAUUUUUCUCUGUGGAUGGUGUUAAGCUCCCUGCAUGGGUAGAUGGGAUGUGCAUGGCUGAGUAUGUUCCCACUUUAGAAGAAGACCUUAAAUUGCAGGUCGUGGAUGCAUCAGCUUCAAUCGGUUGCAGGAGACGAUUCAUUGAGGCCCUAGCUCCUGCUUUCGGGAGACCAUUGGAGGCUGAUCCGAUUUUUUGCAGGAAAGCCACAGUUCUUUCCAUUUCGGGGAUUUUCACAUUUCUGGUUCACUUUGUCAUCCCCCUUCAAUUCCCCCAACAACAGCCUAUCCUGACUUUGCAGAGUUGUCAGCACUGUAAUUCCCAAGGUAUACCUAUCACGUCAUCUCCAAACAACAGCUAUCCAUGGAGUCCUAGAUGGGAAGUAACGGAAAUGGUGGAUCGCAUCUACGACUAUCUGGCUGACGAGUGCCAGAAUUUCAAGAAGUUAUGCAGUGAUGGUUUCCCCCAAGCAAAGUAG
rnacentral:rRNA from 1 species